AGGAGGAAGCUGGUCGCAAGCGAAGGGUUCGUGAUGAAGCAAAACCACUGUCGGUGGUAGAUGAAGCCUUGCCGAUUGAAAAGUUUCAUUGCCCUGUUUCGUUCAAUACCACAUUCAAAGAAAUACCUGAGGACUUCAAGCGAGUCUCCAUCACCCUGGAUGUGGAAACAGCGCAUGCGCGGCUCGAGGUGUCUG